GAGGUCUUAGCUUAAAUAAAGUGCUUGAGUUGCAAUCAGGUGAUGUGAUUGGUUCACAGGCCUUCAGAG
rnacentral:tRNA from 1 species